rnacentral:rRNA from 1 species
UACAGGGUGACAGCCCCGUACACAAAAAUGCACAUAUUGUGAGCUCGAUGAGUAGGGCGGGACACGUGGUAUCCUGUCUGAAUAUGGGGGGACCAUCCUCCAAGGCUAAAUACUCCUGACUGACCGAUAGUGAACCAGUACCGUGAGGGAAAGGCGAAAAGAACCCCGGCGAGGGGAGUGAAAAAGAACCUGAAACCGUGUACGUACAAGCAGUGGGAGCCUCUUUUAUGGGGUGACUGCGUACCUUUUGUAUAAUGGGUCAGCGACUUAUAUUCUGUAGCAAGGUUAACCGAAUAGGGGAGCCGAAGGGAAACCGAGUCUUAACUGGGCGUUAAGUUGCAGGGUAUAGACCCGAAACCCGGUGAUCUAGCCAUGGGCAGGUUGAAGGUUGGGUAACACUAACUGGAGGACCGAACCGACUAAUGUUGAAAAAUUAGCGGAUGACUUGUGGCUGGGGGUGAAAGGCCAAUCAAACCGGGAGAUAGCUGGUUCUCCCCGAAAGCUAUUUAGGUAGCGCCUCGUGAACUCAUCUCCGGGGGUAGAGCACUGUUUCGGCAAGGGGGUCAUCCCGACUUACCAACCCGAUGCAAACUGCGAAUACCGGAGAAUGUUAUCACGGGAGACACACGGCGGGUGCUAACGUCCGUCGUGAAGAGGGAAACAACCCAGACCGCCAGCUAAGGUCCCAAAGUCAUGGUUAAGUGGGAAACGAUGUGGGAAGGCCCAGACAGCCAGGAUGUUGGCUUAGAAGCAGCCAUCAUUUAAAGAAAGCGUAAUAGCUCACUGGUCGAGUCGGCCUGCGCGGAAGAUGUAACGGGGCUAAACCAUGCACCGAAGCUGCGGCAGCGACGCUUAUGCGUUGUUGGGUAGGGGAGCGUUCUGUAAGCCUG